rnacentral:rRNA from 1 species
AUUGAACGCUGGCGGCAGGCCUAACACAUGCAAGUCGGACGGUAGCACAGAGGAGCUUGCUCCUCGGGUGACGAGUGGCGGACGGGUGAGUAAUGUCUGGGGAUCUGCCCGAUAGAGGGGGAUAACCACUGGAAACGGUGGCUAAUACCGCAUAACGUCGCAAGACCAAAGAGGGGGACCUUCGGGCCUCUCACUAUCGGAUGAACCCAGAUGGGAUUAGCUAGUGGGCGGGGUAAUGGCCCACCUAGGCGACGAUCCCUAGCUGGUCUGAGAGGAUGACCAGCCACACUGGAACUGGGACACGGUCCAGACUCCUACGGGAGGCAGCAGUGGGGAAUAUUGCACAAUGGGCGCAAGCCUGAUGCAGCCAUGCCGCGUGUAUGAAGAAGGCCUUCGGGUUGUAAAGUACUUUCAGCGGGGAGGAAGGCGGUGAGGUUAAUAACCUCGCCGAUUGACGUUACCCGCAGAAGAAGCACCGGCUAACUCCGUGCCAGCAGCCGCCGCAGUAA